UGGGAUAACACCUGGAAACAGAUGCUAAUACCGGAUAACAACACUAGACGCAUGUCUAGAGUUUGAAAGAUGGUUCUGCUAUCACUCUUGGAUGGACCUGCGGUGCAUUAGCUAGUUGGUAAGGUAACGGCUUACCAAGGCAAUGAUGCAUAGCCGAGUUGAGAGACUGAUCGGCCACAUUGGGACUGAGACACGGCCCAAACUCCUACGGGAGGCAGCAGUGGGGAAUCUUCCACAAUGGACGAAAGUCUGAUGGAGCAACGCCGCGUGAGUGAAGAAGGGUUUCGGCUCGUAAAGCUCUGUUGGUAGUGAAGAAAGAUAGAGGUAGUAACUGGCCUUUAUUUGACGGUAAUUACUUAGAAAGUCACGGCUAACUACGUGCCAGCAGCCGCGGUAAUACGUAGGUGGCAAGCGUUGUCCGGAUUUAUUGGGCGUAAAGCGAGUGCAGGCGGUUCAAUAAGUCUGAUGUGAAAGCCUUCGGCUCAACCGGAGAAUUGCAUCAGAAACUGUUGAACUUGAGUGCAGAAGAGGAGAGUGGAACUCCAUGUGUAGCGGUGGAAUGCGUAGAUAUAUGGAAGAACACCAGUGGCGAAGGCGGCUCUCUGGUCUGCAACUGACGCUGAGGCUCGAAAGCAUGGGUAGCGAACAGGAUUAGAUACCCUGGUAGUCCAUGCCGUAAACG
rnacentral:rRNA from 1 species